rnacentral:rRNA from 1 species
GCAUAUCAAUAAGCGGAGGAAAAGAAACCAACAGGGAUUGCCCUAGUAACGGCGAGUGAAGCGGCAACAGCUCAAAUUUGAAAUCUGGCUCUUUCAGAGUCCGAGUUGUAAUUUGCAGAGGGCGCUUUGGCUUUGGCAGCGGUCCAAGUUCCUUGGAACAGGACGUCACAGAGGGUGAGAAUCCCGUACGUGGUCGCUAGCUAUUGCCGUGUAAAGCCCNUUCGACGAGUCGAGUUGUUUGGGAAUGCAGCUCUAAAUGGGAGGUAAAUUUCUUCUAAAGCUAAAUAUUGGCCAGAGACCGAUAGCGCACAAGUAGAGUGAUCGAAAGAUGAAAAGCACUUUGGAAAGAGAGUCAAACAGCACGUGAAAUUGUUGAAAGGGAAGCGCUUGCAGCCAGACUUGCUUGCAGUUGCUCAUCCGGGCUUUUGCCCGGUGCACUCUUCUGUAGGCAGGCCAGCAUCAGUUUGGGCGGUGGGAUAAAGGUCUCUGUCACGUACCUCUCUUCGGGGAGGCCUUAUAGGGGAGACGACAUACCACCAGCCUAGACUGAGGUCCGCGCAUCUGCUAGGAUGCUGGCGUAAUGGCUGUAAGCGGCCCGUCUUGAAACACGGACCAAGGAGUCUAACAUCUAUGCGAGUGUUUGGGUGUCAAGCCCGAGCGCGUAAUGAAAGUGAACGGAGGUGGGAACCCGCAAGGGUGCACCAUCGACCGAUCCUGAAGUUUACGGAAGGAUUUGAGUAAGAGCAUGGCUGUUGGGACCCGAAAGAUGGUGAACUAUGCUUGAAUAGGGUGAAGCCAGAGGAAACUCUGGUGGAGGCUCGCAGCGGUUCUGACGUGCAAAUCGAUCGUCAAAUUUGGGCAUAGGGGCGAAAGANNAAUCGAACUAUCUAGUAGCUGGUUCCUGCG